rnacentral:rRNA from 1 species
AGCUCCAAUAGCGUAUAUUAAAGUUGUUGCGGUUAAAAAGCUCGUAGUUGGAUUUCUGUCGAAGACAACUGGUCCGCCCUCUGGGUGAGUAUCUAGUCUGGCUUUGGCAUCCUCCUGGAGAACGUAGCUGUACUUGACUGUAUGGUGCGGUAUCCAGGACUUUUACUUUGAGGAAAUUAGAGUGUUUCAAGCAGGCACACGCCUUGAAUACAUUAGCAUGGAAUAAUAAGAUAGGACCUCGGUUCUAUUUUGUUGGUUUCUAGAGCUGAGGUAAUGAUUAAUAGGGAUAGUUGGGGGG